GACCCAGAGGACCCAGAGGACCCAGAGGAAACCAGAGUGACCAUGGGAGACAUGCAAACUCCACACAGACAACACUCAAGAUCGGUGUUUUGUUGAUGUUUCUGCUCUGAACAGGCAGGGAGUUCAGUCACGUCACAAACUGCCCUUCUCUCUCUGCCAACAAUCAUUUGAGAAGUUCUCUGGAUGUGAGAGCGUGUGUUGAGUUUUGGAGAAAAUAAGGCAACGGUCGAUAUUGUGUGUCCAUCAAUAUGUGUAGAGAAGGGGACGUUACGUGUGGGUAGCAUGUAUGGAGAAGCGGAGUACUGAGCGCUCAAUAAUUUUGGAGAAGGUCAGCUGAUGGCUGAAUGGUCAACUGUUGCAGCUGUAGGAGGUCACGUGAGAUGCAUGCCCUUUGCACUGAACCCCUCGACCACCGUUCCAAUGAGGUUGUUGAAUUUGUUUCAGCAUCACUCCAUGUUACGCAACUAUCACUCCUGACUGUCAACUAUUGCAUCAACUCCUGCCAUCUCUACACCCUGAUGUAUAUGACCUACGUCUCUUUGUUGAUCUCAUACAACAAGACUUCCAAGUCCCUGUCAAAGUGUUUGUUAAUCAUUUUCCAAACCUAAACAUAUUUGGAAAGUUAUACAACGGUGUGUCACAGGGGUCCUGUUAUGAAGCUUGAAGUUGCACAAAGCGACGGGAAAGGGAGCUGUUUAUUUUUAAAGCAUUUUCAUCUUUACAUUUUUAUUUUUAUAGAUAGAUAGAUAGAUAGCCUUUUAUUGUCAUUCAGACUUAGUCUGAACGAAAUUGCAGCAGUCAUACAUAUAAUACAAUACAAUAAAACAACAAUAAACACACAUUAACAUCCACCACAGUGAGUCCACCCAGCAUCUCCUCACUGUGAUGGAGGCAAAAGUCUUAGGUCGCAGUCUCUUCCCUCCUCUUCUCCCUCUGCGCUGGGGCGAUACCCCCCCCCCCCCCCCCCGGGCGAU